CACUUUAUUUUGCAUCGUCAUUAAUUAUCUUUAUGUUACUUAUAAUAAUGGACCACCCGCUAAAUAAAUUAACAUUAGAGUACCUACUAUAAUUUGGUCAUCGCUAAAUCUGUGAAAUUUCGAUCCUUUCUGCAAAGGCUCUUUAACGUUUCAAUUGACAUUUUCUAAGUGAGGUUCAAUAGGUUAGAUAAGUGGACCGAACAACCUGU